ensembl:lncRNA
AGAUGGCAUUACAUUACCCCCCCUGACUCCAAACCACGCAUCUGCUUCCAAUACGUAGGGGCUGCUGGUUCAUCACUUCUGCUCCGAGUAGCCUGCAGCUCACGCCUCAAGAAAAACGGGAUUGUAUCAGCACUGAAGAUGUGCAUAACCAGAGGAGCAAGUGAUAGGACUAAACCUAUACGUCGAAACUAAGUAAAAGCAAUACCACGGGAACUUCUUCGUGGGUGAAAAAUAAGAAAGAUGUACCCAUGGCGGUUAUGGAUCGCCAUGAUUAUGGGCUCACUGUGGUACUUUUCAGAGUACGGUCAAAUAGCGACUCAGUUCGUGUUGUGUGUGCUGUGUUGUUACGUCUCUACCCCGCCGAUAUUGAGAAACAUGGGCCAGGAGAGCGGCACACAAACAGACGAAGCAGCCCAGGAAGACGAUCAUCGGGGAAACGUAGCAGGUGCAACAUGUUUUGGUUUCGAUAUCUAUCAUGGAGGGAAUAGCCCACAAGUUCAUCAACAGGAGGAUCUUUCGUUUCAGCUGCAUUAUCCCAACGUCAAAAGGUCGCUGAGGCAUGUGUUUGAGUGUGCUUACAGACAGUUAAUCCUCCCAUGGUACUGCGUCCCAGAGCCCCCUGAGUGCCAGCCCCUUCAUCAGGCUCUGGGCAGGGAGUUUGACCUGGUGGUGGACCGGGUCAUCAGCAGGGCCCGGGACUUUGACCUGUGCGAGGCUGUGGUGGGCUCCGUCCGGAUCCUGACCCAGCACUUCCAUAACGCGAAGCAGGCGGAAAGUGUGUCUUUUGACCUGAGGUGUUUUAUGGGAAGACUUACUAGAGGAAUUUCACCUGUGUCAUCAAAACAGUGCUGCAACCAUUAGAAAAUCAAACUCAAAGAUUCUCUCUUCUACACAGAAGAACAUUCGCACAAGCCGAUGGAUCCCCUGUUCGGCUCCAGAGCAGAGGAAAUGGCUGUCCUGAGGGUGUUCUCCGAGGCCCUGGUCCGUAAUCUGUUCCCUGAGUCUCUGUGUGGGCUGGAUAUGAAUCGCUGUGCCCUUAAUGAGAUUGUGGCCUUAAAGGGUUUGGAGCUGCUGGUGACGUGGCUGUCGAACCCGGACCACCUGAACCAGAUGGUGGUCGGUCAGCUCGACAAAGCCUCUCCCAAAAGCUCUGUGGAGGAGCUGCGGGGGGUCCGACUGUGACAGAACCUCCUCCGCCUCCCAGGGAGAGGAAGAGGAGGAGGAGAGCGAGGGCUCUGAGGAAGAAGAGUGCAGUGAAGUGUCAUGUGAGAACUCGGAAAACUCCUCAAGCCAUAAGGAAAAGAUGAAACUGAGAUCCAAAAAGCUCAAAGAAGGAUGGGUCAAGUUUGUGGACAAGGUGAAAUACAAGAGACAAAAGAAGAAGGCGAAAGAAGAAGAUGAAGAAGAUUGAGCAGGAGCUCAUUUUCAGAGCGAUGACCAACCAGGGGACGCCGACUCUGGAGGGGAACGGCUGUAGCAGAGUGGCUUCCCUUCGCAGCCGUCAAGACUCUGAUCCGGUGCGGGGCGAUCUUGAGCACUACCUGGCUAGCGUCCAAGAGGACAUGAUGGAAUUCAAGCUGUCGUACGAGAUGUGGCGCAUUGGCCAUUGGACUGUGAGCAUCCCCAAUCUUACUCCAGAAUAGCUCAUCCAAACAACUCCGCCCUUGAUACUGCGCUUCGCUGGGUCCUCAGCAAUACACCCACCAAGGGUGAAGUAAAACAGAUGCACAAGUCAAGAAAUCCAAG